CAGACGAAAACUCCUUGUCUCCUCUGGGUUUGGUAUCUUGUCCCUGAAGUGCCCACAGCUGUGCUGGCUACGGCAGUGGUGGUUCCAUGAGGGCAAUCACAUCAUCAUGUCAUAGCGUGAUCCACUCGUCAAUGGAUUAAUCCUCAAACAAGCCAAAAGCUCGAUGAACUAUUAAGAGCUCCAGAUUUGGAGGAUGUGGGUUCUAGCAGACAACCUUUGGAGCCGUUUCCCCCUCCUCCUUCCUCCCUGCUCUCCAGCAAAGGUUAGCAACUGCUCCAUCACACCAUAGGCCCAGAAGCAAGGAAAGCAGGCAACCAUGAACUGAAAUCUCAAAGCCAUGAGUAAAAACACCCCUUUACUCCUCUAGGCUGUCAGAGGUUUUUGUCAUUGUAAUGAAAAGCUAACGUGCACUUGCAAAUACGCAUACAUGUGUGUAAAAUAUAGUGCUAUACAUGUCA